rnacentral:RNase_P_RNA from 1 species
GCGAUGAACCAGGCUGCCGCUAUACAAUUGUAUAGAGGAAAGUCCGGGCUCCGCAGGGCAUGAUGCCGGGUAACGUCCGGGAGGAAGAUCGAAAGGUCUUUCGACAGAAAGCGCAACAGAAAGCAAACCGCCCAGCCCAGUGCUGGGUAAGGGUGAAAGGGUAGGGUAAGAGCCUAC